UACGUAGGGUGCAAGCGUUGUCCGGAAUUAUUGGGCGUAAAGAGCUCGUAGGCGGUUUUGUCGCGUCGAAUGUGAAAACCCGGGGCUCAACCCCGGGCCUGCAUUCGAUACGGGCAGACUAGAGUUCGGUAGGGGAGUCUGGAAUUCCUGGUGUAGCGGUGAAAUGCGCAGAUAUCAGGAGGAACACCGGUGGCGAAGGCGGGUCUCUGGGCAACAACUGACGCUGAGGAGCGAAAGCGUGGGGAGCGAACAGGG
rnacentral:rRNA from 1 species